AGUGAACGCUGGCGGUAGGCCUAACACAUGCAAGUCGAACGGCGGCACAGUAAGAGCUUGCUCUUACGGGUGGCGAGUGGCGGACGGGUUAGGAAUACAUCGGAAUCUACUUUUUCGUGGGGGAUAACGUAGGGAAACUUACGCUAAUACCGCAUACGACCUACGGGUGAAAGCAGGGGAUCUUCGGACCUUGCGCGAUUGAAUGAGCCGAUGUCGGAUUAGCUAGUUGGCGGGGUAAAGGCCCACCAAGGCGACGAUCCGUAGCUGGUCUGAGAGGAUGAUCAGCCACACUGGAACUGAGACACGGUCCAGACUCCUACGGGAGGCAGCAGUGGGGAAUAUUGGACAAUGGGCGCAAGCCUGAUCCAGCCAUACCGCGUGGGUGAAGAAGGCCUUCGGGUUGUAAAGCCCUUUUGUUGGGAAAGAAAAGCAGCAGGUUAAUACCCCGCUGUUCUGACGGUACCCAAAGAAUAAGCACCGGCUAACUUCGUG
rnacentral:rRNA from 1 species